UCCUUCAAUAAUUUUAUUGUUUUAAUUAAACAUGCUCAGUGUAAGAAUCAAACAAUAGAGAAAAAUACAAAGAAAAGAAAAUGCAUCUCAAUUCCCACCCCCCCAAGAGAUAAUCCUUGUUAAUAAAUUGAUGUACAUCUUGCAAUGCACAUAUUCCUAUACACAUUUAUAAUUUUACACAAAUGGAAUCAUAUAAUCUAAGCUAUUUUUAAUCUGCUUCUGCCACUUAUAUACAUUUUGUAAAGCAAAUACAACCUCAAAAAUCUUCGGGAAAUGUAUUACCUAGUUGAAUCUUAACCUAAAUCCUCUUAGGAAAUGAAGCAUUCUUCUAUAUAGUGAAUUUCUGCCUCCUCCUCACAGAUCCACAGGUUACCUUCUUAAGGGUGUGUGUGCUUGUGUGUGUGUGUGAAUUCCACAUUCAUUUAUCAGGUUUGCUUCAGGAAGAGUUCACCUGUAAGAAGGAUGAGCCUUUUGCCGUAAAUCAGAGUUCUGGGUCUCAGUGUUCACAGCACAGAUGGUCUAAAACCCAGAGUAUUUGGAGAUUCCAGUGUAAAUUCUGGAUUUUCUCCAGUCGUCUAGGACUGAAGACACUGAUCUCUGGUCCCAGUUGAGUUUCACCAACACUCUGGCUCUAGAAUGAGCACUGACUAAGGGUCUAGUAAGCAAAGGGUGGAAGUAGGGGGUGGAUGUGGCGGCGGGGGUCCUUGAUCUGAUCAGGGCAGCCCAGACAGCACAUCCAUGCCACUGGCUUUCAUGAGAACCAAGCACCCCUCUGCUUCUGCAGAAUGUAGUUAUACUUUUUUAUAUGACAUCCUUUGGUUAAUUCAUCCCCAUUUUCCGGAUGAGGCUGGGUGUGAGAUUCACCACGAUCAUGCACAGAAUGCCCUGAGCACAGUGCCUGGCACAUAGUAGGCGCUCGAUAAACGCAAGUGUCACUGCAAAGACAGAGUGAGAAUGUGGCUGCUGUAGGGUUUCCCACCUGUGCCCGCCUCUCCUUUCCGAGUCAGACCACACUCUCAUUCUGUAGACUAUAGUGAGAUAGACAUUUCAAGAGACAGUGAUGGAUCAAAGAUGAGUUCCCUAGAGACAAAGCACACUCCUUAUUGCCCAUCAAAUCUAAAGCCUAAUAAAGCCCACAUAGUACUUACAAGGUCCCCAGCCCUCUGCCUAAAGGUGGAAAUCGUCACCAUCACAGUGAGCCUGGGCCUCAGGGCAGACCAAGCUGACUUAACGAUGAGGAGGACAACAGAAAGACUUGACCACAGCACCCAGCUGACCAUACCAGCAAAUGGAGGGGCCUUCAGAUCCUCUGUAUCCCUUUUCCCUAGGAGAAACUGGGGAUCCUCGUAAAGUUUAAUUACAACUUCUUUUUGCCUUGUGGGGAAUACAAAGACACAGUGUAGCCCUAAUGUGUUUAUAGAUGGCAAGGAAGUAGAGAUUCAAAUAAACGCAGGGGGACCAUAAGAGGGAUGUACUCAAUGCUUCUCAUCUUAAAAAGGGACCAGUAACCUCGACAGUCCAUGCUAAAGAACACUUGUCACAUUCUAUUAGUUCCAUCUGAUCACAUGAAGAGGGAAUAAAAAUCACAGCAUGGCAGUGCCGGGUGUCUCAAGCUUCAUUAAAAUGAUUUUUCCCAAGAGUGUCCUAUAACAGCAUGUAAAGCACUUUGGUACAGUACCUGGAUCGCUGGAAGUAAUCAAUAAACGUAAACUAGCAGUGGCAGCAGCGAUAGCAAGAAUGACAUGCUGAGAGCACUCAUUUAGCUGGUUGGAACCCUGCUCAGCAUAGAAUUCAAGUCUUCUGGCAAUUAAACGAGUGUUUAACUUCCCAUGAACCCACCCGCCCUAUUCCUUCUGAGACUCGGCCCUUCUGUCUCCAGUGUUCCAAGUUCUUCAGGCGACCUUGGGUCCGCUCUCUCCAAUGUCCCUGAGUCCACGAUGACAGAGAUAUCCCAGCUGAAGAACUGAACUUCACAGGUCUGACGCUGACACAACCCAUGGAAUUCAGUUCUCAAAGCUGAGGAUACACACAGGCUUUCCAGCGCUGGCGCAAAGCCCCGCUCCUCGCAGUCCAGGCCCCAUCCCAGC
ensembl:lncRNA